rnacentral:rRNA from 1 species
AGCAGCCGCGGUAAUUCCAGCUCCAAUAGCGUAUAUUAAAGUUGUUGCAGUUAAAAAGCUCGUAGUUGAAUUUCGGGACUAGUAAGUUGGUCGUGCCUCUGGUAUGUACUGGCUUUACUGGUUCCUCCUUCUUGAAGAACUGUAAUGUCAUUAAUUUGGUGUUGCAGGGAAACAGGACUGUUACUUUGAAAAAAUUAGAGUGUUUAAAGCAGGCUAACGCUUGAAUACAUUAGCAUGGAAUAAUGAAAUAGGACGUUUGAUCCUAUUUUGUUGGUUUCUAGGAUUUGACGUAAUGAUUAAUAGGGAUAGUUGGGGGCAUUAGUAUUCAAUUGUCAGAGGUGAAAUUCUUGGAUUUAUUGAAGACUAACUACUGCGAAAGCAUUUGCCAAGGAUGUUUUCAUUAAUCAAGAACGAAAGUUAGGGGAUCGAAGACGAUCAGAUACCGUCGUAGUCUUAACCAUAAACUAUGCCGACUAGGGAUCGGAUGAUGUUAAUUUUUUUAAUGUACUCAUUCGGCGCC